rnacentral:rRNA from 1 species
UACGUAGGUGGCAAGCGUUGUUCGGAAUUAUUGGGCGUAAAGGGCGCGUAGGCGGUCUUGUAAGUCAGCUGUGAAAGCCCGGGGCUCAACCCCGGAGGGUCGGCUGAUACUGCAGGACUGGAGUACGGAAGAGGUAGCUGGAAUUCCCGGUGUAGCGGUUAAAUGCGUAGAUAUCGGGAGGAACACCAGUGGCGAAGGCGGCUACCUGGCCCACUCUUGACGCUGAGGCGCGAAAGCUAGGGGAGCAAACGGG